GAAGUUAUAGCUCAGUGGCAGAGUGUGUGCUUAGGAUUGGCUUGCACGAGGUCCUGGGUUCAAACCCCAGUACCUCUG
rnacentral:tRNA from 1 species